GGUGGGGUUUAAGGGCAUAUUCCCUCACAAUCAUAUUCUAUCUGAAAAUUUAUCAUUCUCUGGCUAUCAAAAACCUGAAAAGCGUAAGCAUAAAGAGAUGGCAGUUUGUUCUGUUUAUCCAUUAAACCCUACUCUCCUCUCUCACUCUCUUGCUCUUUCUCUUUCCCAUCAUUCUCAUGUUUACUUGAGUGCAGAAUCAGUGAGCAGAAUAAUAAGAAGAGAAGGCAGACAAGGCAGUAUGACUGUUAGGGUUUUAUCCACCCAUUCAAAUGCUAAGAUUCUCAACCCUAAACGAAAAUCACGCUACGGCCACACCUUCAGUCUCUACGAUACUGAUACCGGUCUUGAUGAUUGGUUGCUGGAUGAUGAAUUUGCAGAGCCUGUGGAUUUUGAAGUCGAUGGAAAGAAAAGAGUUAAUUCGCAGAAGAAAACAAGUACCAGAGAAGCUGGCCAGAGAUUAUUCAAUUCGAGAACUAGCGAGAACAUUCAGGAAAAGAGUAUGGUUGGAAACUUCUAUGGUACUAAAAAUAGAACAAAAGAAGCUGAUUCCUCUGACAUUAAUGGACAAGGAAAGCUAAUAACAGGGAAAUCUACUGAGGACAGAUAUCCAAAGCUAUCUGAAGAAAUAGAUUUGGAUGAAAAGUGGCUCCCCCUUUUGGAUUACCUAAGCACGUUUGGGCUCAAGGAAUCACACUUUAUCCAAAUCUAUGAGAGGCACAUGCCAUCACUCCGAAUAAAUGUAUGUUCUGCACGGGAGAGAUUGGAGUACCUGCAGAGUAUUGGCGUCAAACACAGAGAUAUAAAAAGAAUACUUUUGAGGCAACCGCAAAUUCUAGAAUAUACAGUGGAGAGUAAUUUGAAGUCUCAUACUGCUUUCUUGAUUGGUUUAGGUAUUCCAGAUUCCAGAAUAGGGCAGAUAAUUGCUGCUGCUCCAUCUCUAUUUUCUUAUAGUGUUGAGAAUUCUCUAAAACCCACAGUUAGAUAUUUGGUUGAGGAGGUUGGAAUUGAUGAAAAAAAUAUAGGAAAAGUUGUGCAGCUGAGCCCUCAAAUCCUGGUUCAGCGGAUUGAUGUAUCAUGGAAUACUCGCUAUCUUUUUCUAUCCAGGGAGCUGGGAGCAUCCAGAGAUAGCGUAGUAAAGAUGGUAACAAAACAUCCUCAGCUCCUUCAUUACAGCAUUGAUGAUGGAUUCAUCCCAAGGAUCAAUUUCCUGAGGAGUAUCGGGAUGCAUAAUGGUGACAUCUUGAAAGUCUUGACCAGCCUUACACAGGUAUUAUCUCUGUCACUGGAAGACAAUCUAAAGCCAAAGUACAAGUAUUUGAUCAAUGAACUUCGUAAUGAGGUGCAAUCCUUGACCAAAUACCCUAUGUACUUAAGCUUGUCUUUAGACCAGAGAAUUCGCCCUCGCCAUAGGUUCUUGGUUGCCUUAAAGAAAGCUCCAAAGGGGCCAUUUCCUCUUAGUUCAUUUGUUCCAACUGAUGAAAGCUUUUGUCAGCAGUGGGCUGGAACUAGUGUAGAUAAAUAUUUGGCUUUUCGGCAACAAUUGCUACUAAAAGAGUUUGCUAAGAAAUAUGAAAAACGACGGUAAUGUUUUGUCGUCAAGCUUCUUCAAUGUUGUUUCUAACACAAGUAAAGGAGUGAGGUCUGUCUAUGAAUUAAAGCAACCUGCAAGAUUGGUUUCUGAAGGCUAGUGAGGACAUUUUGGGGUGAAGGUUUGGUUUGAUGGCAUGGUAAUUUGACCAAUAUCAGAUUCAGAGCACCCUUUUUGAUGUUAGAGCUCUGAAAGGCACGUGAGAAUACGAUCAGACCUGCUAGUAAUUGUGAAGGUGAAAGAGAUCAAGCAGAUGUCUAUAAAGUUAGUUUGCUGUGAUGAUACGUUUUUUCUGAAUCUUAUGACUCCAGACAAUAGUAUUUGCAAGGUCUAUGCUAAUGUCACACAUCAAGAGAUGAAAUUUUGAAUGGGGCGUGUACUCACCGGAAUUUUUUGUUGUUCUUAUACCUUUUGUUUUUCUUUGUUUUUUUCCCCUGGACGUAUCAUGCCUCCACGCCUACACCUAUAUAAUGUACUCUAGAGUUGCCUGUGCAGCUUCAAGAAUCAGCACUGAGAGUAGCUGCUGCUUUUACCAUAUAAAAAAAAUACAGAUAAAAAGACUAAUUGAUUUGCUCAAUGAUUUGGAUUUGACGUUUUAUGCAUCUAUUUGUAGCAAUUGCAUGUUUGAAGUUGCUUCA